rnacentral:rRNA from 1 species
UACGUAUGGUGCAAGCGUUAUCCGGAUUUACUGGGUGUAAAGGGAGCGUAGGCGGCGCGUUAAGUCUGAUGUGAAAACCCGAGGCUCAACCACGGGAGUGCAUUGGAAACUGGCGGGCUGGAGUGCCGGAGAGGUAAGCGGAAUUCCUAGUGUAGCGGUGAAAUGCGUAGAUAUUAGGGGGAACAUCAGUGGCGAAGGCGACUUUCUGGACUGUAACUGACGCUGAGGCACGAAAGUGUGGGGAGCAAACAGG